rnacentral:lncRNA from 1 species
AGAACGAGGCGGCGGCCGUGGGGAGAAGGAUGGGGGCUAACCAGUUAGUGGUGCUCAACGUCUACGACGUGGUGAGUGAGGCACCUGGCGGCCCGCGCCGGCCGGCCCUGUCAGGGGUCGGGACCCCGGCCCGGUGCUUCCUGCCUCGCGCCUCCGCCUCCAGCUUAGUUCUCAGGGGUGGGGGGAGGGGACAGUCGCGCUGUCUUCUAAUCCCGAGACUGGCCCGCGCGCCUCCUGGAGGUGUCCCAGUCAGUCCGAAAGAGGGCUUGGGCUCGAGCCUCGUCCCAGCCCUCAGCUCCCCUGGCUGUGGGCCCGACCCCUGGGCGGAUGAGCCGUGUCCUAUCCGCGAAGCUUCGGUCGCAGGGCGACCUCCCUCCCAACUGCCACCUGGCCUCUAAGCUGCUCAGCUCCCCUCUGCCCUGCUCCUGCUGGCCCUUGUCUGUCUCCAAAUGCUCGAGGCUUCCGACAACUCUCAAGCCCUUCAAGUCUAGAAAGUCACAGCUUCGAUGCGGAUGCUAGCGUCUCCCCAGAGGUGAACCGGAGCCAAUACACCCUCACCUCCAAGGCAUCCUCAUAAAAAUGAAUGAAGCGAAAAUUUAUGAAGAAAAUAGCGCCGUUGAAUUAUUUAGCGAUCACAGAGGUGAUCCUAGAAUCCGAAGACCACUUUCCAGGUGAUGCAACAGGUGGAUGGCGUGACCGCUAGAGAGGGAAGGACAGCCUUGUUUAUUAAGUCAUCUAACUUUGAAGAACUGCAAACACUCAGGCCAGGGUACUGAAGGUGGAGCAAAGAUUAAGUUCCUUUUGCAGAAAGGAAUGUCUGAGGAGGGAAGCUUAUUGGCUAAACCCUUGGGGCCAACCCAUCUAGAUACCUCGUUAGCAUGGCGAACUCUGUUCUGUGCUGUUCCUGUGGGGUGUCAUAGUCAUGGGCACCAGGACAGGAACCAGGUGCAGUACAUGAGAACACCUGUGGUUCUCAGAUAGGAGAAGUACUGGGGUUUGUGAAUCCUCUCAACCUUCCCAGUUUUUGUCUGGUGAUACGGUUCCGCUUGCCCUACAACACAGAUCAGGUUAAGCAAGACAGAAGACUCAAUACAAACACCAAGCUCUAUAUGUUGUCUGAAGAUCUUGAUAGCAUCAUAUGUGUGGUGAUUUGAGUGAAAUGACACCCCCUGUUUUGGUCCUUUGAAUACUUAGUGUCCCCAGUUGGUGAUGUUCUGUGGCAAGAUAUAGGAGGUAUGCUUGAAGAGUUUGAAGACUCAGGCACUUGGAGCAUGCCUUCUGCCUACACUUCGAGAUAUAUGCUCGAAAUGAAAACUUGAAUUUGAAAUUUAAAAGUGAAAAUUUAAAUGUAAUAUCUAAUAAUUUGAGGAGGGAAAUAGUUGAUAGAAAUAGGAUAUGGGUCUUCCUAUCAAGAGCUAACAUAUUUUUUUAAUUUUUUAAAAAGGAUUUAUUAUUAUAUAUAAGUAUAUUAUAACUGACUUCUGACAUACCAGAAGAAGGCAUCAAAUCUCAUUAAAGGUGGUUAUGGACCUUCAGAACUCAGGACC